AAGAACCAUUGAGUUACAAAG
rnacentral:snRNA from 1 species